rnacentral:lncRNA from 1 species
GGAAAUAAAGUUUUGAGAAUCUAGCUUGGUUGAAUUCAACGUAUCAGCCUCAAUCAAAUGAACAAGUUUGGAGUAACUAGAAUAAAAAAAAUAUUUUUCUUUUUCAUUUGUUUUAUGAAAUACUCUAAUUAGACGUGACAUUAGAACAUAUGAUUACUUAUUAAUUUUAUUUUAUUUUGAACAACUUUUUAAAGAUUUU